CCUACGGGAGGCUGCAGUGGGGAAUAUUGGACAAUGGGCGAAAGCCUGGUCCAGCCAUGCCGCGUGUGUGAAGAAGGCCUUCGGGUUGUAAAGCACUUUCAGUGGGGAAGAAAGCCUUGGGGCUAAUACCCUCGAGGAAGGACAUCACCCACAGAAGAAGCACCGGCUAACUCCGUGCCAGCAGCCGCGGUAAUACGGAGGGUGCGAGCGUUAAUCGGAAUUACUGGGCGUAAAGCGCGCGUAGGCGGUCUGAUAAGCCGGUUGUGAAAGCCCCGGGCUCAACCUGGGAACGGCAUCCGGAACUGUCAGGCUAGAGUGCAGGAGAGGAAGGUAGAAUUCCCGGUGUAGCGGUGAAAUGCGUAGAGAUCGGGAGGAAUACCAGUGGCGAAGGCGGUCUUCUGGACUGACACUGACGCUGAGGUGCGAAAGCGUGGGUAGCAAACAGGAUUAGAUACCCGAGUAGUC
rnacentral:rRNA from 1 species